rnacentral:rRNA from 1 species
GAUGAACGCUGGCGGCGUGCCUAAUACAUGCAAGUCGAGCGAACAGACGAGGAGCUUGCUCCUCUGACGUUAGCGGCGGACGGGUGAGUAACACGUGGAUAACCUACCUAUAAGACUGGGAUAACUUCGGGAAACCGGAGCUAAUACCGGAUAAUAUAUUGAACCGCAUGGUUCAAUAGUGAAAGACGGUUUUGCUGUCACUUAUAGAUGGAUCCGCGCCGCAUGAGCUAGUUGGUAAGGUAACGGCUUACCAAGGCAACGAUGCGUAGCCGACCUGAGAGGGUGAUCGGCCACACUGGAACGGAGACAGGGUCCAGACUCCUACGGGAGGCAGCAGUAGGGAAUCUGCCGCAAUGGGCGAAAGCCUGACGGAGCAACGCCGCGUGAGUGAUGAAGGUCUUCGGAUCGUAAAACUCUGUUAUUAGGGAAGAACAAAUGUGUAAGUAACUAUGCACGUCUUGACGGUACCUAAUCAGAAAGCCACGGCUAACUACGUG